rnacentral:rRNA from 1 species
CGUCAGUGCUAUUCCUUUAAAGUAUCUGCUCUAUCAACUGUCGAUGGUAUAUUAUAUGUUUACCAUGGUUGUAACGGGUAACGGGGAAUUAGGGUUCGAUUCCGGAGAGGGAGCCUGAGAAACGGCUACCACAUCUAAGGAAGGCAGCAGGCGCGCAAAUUACCCAAUCCCGGCUCGGGGAGGUAGUGACAAAAAAUAACAAUGCGGGACUCUUAUGAGGCUUCGUAAUUGGAAUGAGUACAUUCUAAAUCCUUUAACGAGGAACUAUUGGAGGGCAAGUCUGGUGCCAGCAGCCGCGGUAAUUCCAGCUCCAAUAGCGUAUAUUAAAGUUGUUGCGUCUAAAAAGCUCGUAGUUUGAAAACUUGCCUUGGCUUACAACAGACGUCUAAGGGCGUCACCGUUUGUCGAGAGCAAAUAUGGGUGACUGUUCUUGCCUUCUUCACUGAUUGGCUCGUAAAAGUCAUCGAAGAUCACUUUGAUUAAAUUAGGGUGCUCAAAGCAAGUGUGCUACUUGAAUAUGAAUGCAUGGAAUGAUGGAAUAUGUUGUUGUUCUAUUUGUUGGUUUUUUGAAUGACGAAAUGAUUGAAAGGAACUGUUGGGGGCAUUCGUAUUGUUGUGAGAGAGGUGAAAUUCUUAGACCAUAGCAAGACGAACUACUGCGAAAGCAUUUGCCAGGAAUGUUUUCAUUGAUCAAGAACGAAAGUUAGAGGUUCGAAGGCGAUCAGAUACCGCCCUAGUUCUAACCAUAAACUAUGCCGACUAGCAAUUUGCUUUGUAUUUUUAUGACUAAGUGAGAGGCCACGGGAAACCAAAGUAGGGUUAUGGGGGAAGUAUGGUUGCAAAGCUGAAACUUAAAGGAAUUGACAGAAGGGCACCACCAGGAGUGGAGCCUGCGGCUUAAUUUGACCCAACACGGGAAAACUUACCUGGUCCUGACACUAGAAGGAUUGACAGAUUGAUAGCUCUUUCUUGAUUUGGUGGAUGGUGGUGCAUGGCCGUUCUUAGUUGGUGGAGUGAUUUGUCUGGUUAAUUCCGAUAACGAACGAGACUCUAGCCUAUUAAAUAAUAUGCGGAAUCAAUUUCUCCCGCGUUAUUUCUUAAUGGGAUCAAGCGUGUUUAACGCUUUGAAACAGAGCAAUAACAGGUCUGUGAUGCCCUUAGAUGUUCGGGGCUGCACGCGCGCUACAUUGAAGAACAAAGUGAGCCCUCUGGCUUUUAACAAAGCUAGAAAUCUUUUAAUGUUCUUCUUAAUGGGGAUAGGGGAUUGCAAUUGUGCCCCUUGAACGAGGAAUUCCCAGUAAGUGCUAGUCAUUAGCUAGUACUGAUUACGUCCCUGCCCUUUGUACACACCGCCCGUCGCUACUACCGAUUGAAUAGUUUAGUGAGAUCAUCUGAG